CCUACGGGAGGCAGCAGUGAGGAAUAUUGGUCAAUGGGCGCGAUCCUGAACCAGCCAAGCCGCGUGAGGGAAGACGGCCCUAUGGAUUGUAAACCUCUUUUGUCGGGGAGCAAAAGACGCGACGUGUGCCGUUCUGAGAGUAUCCGAAGAAAAAGCAUCGGCUAACUCCGUGCCAGCAGCCGCGGUAAUACGGAGGAUGCGAGCGUUAUCCGGAUUUAUUGGGUUUAAAGGGUGCGCAGGCGGACGAUGAAGUCAGCGGUAAAAUUGCGGGGCUCAACCCCGUCGAGCCGUUGAAACUGGUAGUCUUGAGUGGGCGAGAAGUAUGCGGAAUGCGUGGUGUAGCGGUGAAAUGCAUAGAUAUCGCGCAGAACUCCGAUUGCGAAGGCAGCGUACCGGCGCUAGACUGACGCUGAGGCACGAAAGUGUGGGUAUCGAACAGGAUUAGAUACCCUUGUAGUC
rnacentral:rRNA from 1 species